rnacentral:rRNA from 1 species
GUGCCAGCAGCCGCGGUAAUACGUAGGUGGCAAGCGUUGUCCGGAAUUAUUGGGCGUAAAGCGCGCGCAGGUGGUUCCUUAAGUCUGAUGUGAAAGCCCACGGCUCAACCGUGGAGGGUCAUUGGAAACUGGGGAACUUGAGUGCAGAAGAGGAAAGUGGAAUUCCAAGUGUAGCGGUGAAAUGCGUAGAGAUUUGGAGGAACACCAGUGGCGAAGGCGACUUUCUGGUCUGUAACUGACACUGAGGCGCGAAAGCGUGGGGAGCGAACAGGAUUAGAUACCCUGGUAGUCC